rnacentral:rRNA from 1 species
GAGUUUGAUCGUGGCUCAGAUUGAACGCUGGCGGCAUGCCUUACACAUGCAAGUCGAACGGCAGCAUGAUCUAGCUUGCUAGAUUGAUGGCGAGUGGCGAACGGGUGAGUAAUACAUCGGAACGUGCCCUGUAGUGGGGAUAACUAGUCGAAAGAUUAGCUAAUACCGCAUACGACCUGAGGGUGGAAGUGGGGGACCGCAAGGCCUCAUGCUAUAGGGAGCGGCCGAUGUCUGAUUAGCUAGUUGGUGGGGUAAAGGCCCACCAAGGCGACGAUCAGUAGCUGGUCUGAGAGGACGAUCAGCCACACUGGGACUGAGACACGGCCCAGACGUCCUACGGGAGGCAGCAGUGGGGAUUUUGCAAUGGCGAAAGCCUGAUCCAGCAAUGCCGCGUGUGUGAAGAAGGCCUUCGG